rnacentral:lncRNA from 1 species
GGCAUCAGAGGCCAAACUGAACCACAGGAGGGACCUUCAAGAGGUCCAGCUAGCUCGGACCAGCAGUGAGUGGACCUUUCUUUUUUUAAAUGAUUUUCUGAAUCAGUUUUAUUCAGUGUGAUUUAUUUCUAUGAAUUUAAAGAUUCCUUCUAUACAUUGCUUAGCUGAUUUUGCUAAAGUUAUUUGGACAACAGACUUUGAGAUUUAUGAUUCAGAAAUAUCUAGCUCAGAUUUUAUCAGAAUAUAGAGGAUGUCAGAUUUUAUCCAAGAUAAUUAUUUUAGACCACCAUGAAUUAUAGAAAGCAGAGUUUGAGUUUUCUAUCAGAUAAAAAGGGCAGCACAGUUAUAGAUUGAAUAAAGAUUCAGUUAUUCAUCAGAUCUUUCAGAAAUAUUAUGAUAUUUAUAUUUGAUAUUUUCUCAGCAGUUAAUAUUUUCUUAAACCACUGUGGAUACCCGGUUACAGAAACAGGUUGCCGUCAAAUAAGACGAUGUCUACGGACAUCCAGAUUGCCUUCGGUUUAUGUUGCCUUCGGAUAUGAUGAUGUCUACAGACAUCCAGUUUACUUUCAGUUACGUCAGUGCACUUGACAUUUGCCUCACGAGUUUUGGGGACGCCCGGACCGUGAGUGCCAGGAUUGCGAAUCAGGCUGACUACGGUCUCCUGAAUCCUGCCAGUUUGCGGCUCGGAUACACUAUGUGUCGCCGAGACCUGCCAGGGGAAUUAACGGAUUUACAGAGGAUUUGACAGUUUUACAGGGGUACACCUAGGUGGUAGUUUUAAAGAAAUUUCAGUGCUUUUAUGCAAAUAUUGAUUUCAGUGAUUUUACUCAAUAUUUCCUUGGUAUUGAGCAUAUCCUACAUCUGGAUAUAUAUAUAUAUAGAUGUAUAUAUUUAUGUGAAUGCUUGAAUUUACCCUAAAUUCAGUGCAGUUUACAUAUUCAGUUUUAUGAUUAUCAUUGUUUUUACAGUGGGGGUUAUUAUGUUCAUACACUGUUUGAGAACUCUAUUUUGGUCCACUCACACUUUUAAUGUUUUGCGCCCCCCCAGGCCGUAGAAGAACGAAGGAAACCACUCGGGCCAUCAUCCUAGCUUCCGACCCACCACCAAAGUGUAGGAGUUCGUUGUAACUCUUUUGUAAAUCCUGUAAAUUUGUAUAGAAAUGCUCUGAGAUCUGGUUGAACAUAAGGAACUGGUAGGAUUUUUGAGACUGUUUGACAGGUGGAAGACUUUGUGUUUGGUCAAAAUACAGGG